rnacentral:rRNA from 1 species
UACGUAGGGGGCUAGCGUUGUCCGGAAUCAUUGGGCGUAAAGAGCGCGUAGGCGGCCCGAUAAGUCCGCUGUGAAAGUCCAGGGCUCAACCCUGGAAUGCCGGUGGAUACUGUCGGGCUAGAGUCCGGAAGAGGAGAGUGGAAUUCCUGGUGUAGCGGUGAAAUGCGCAGAUAUCAGGAAGAACACCCGUGGCGAAGGCGGCUCUCUGGGACGGUACUGACGCUGAGACGCGAAAGCGUGGGGAGCGAACAGG